CUUGAAUCCCUAUAAGAGGUCCAGCCUGCCCAGUGACUUUGUUCAACGGCCGCGGUAUCCUAACCGUGCGAAGGUAGCGUAAUCACUUGUCUUUUAAAUGAGGACUUGUAUGAAUGGCAUCACGAGGGUUAUACUGUCUCCUUUCUCUAAUCAGUGAAACUAAUCUUCCCGUGAAGAAGCGGGAAUAAAUAUAUAAGACGAGAAGACCCUAUGGAGCUUUAAACUCAAUAACAAAUACUGACCUCACUUUAAUUUCCAGAACAUUGACACUAAUCCUAGUAUUAUGAUUAUUAGUUUUAGGUUGGGGUGACCGCGGAGUAAAAAUUAACCUCCACAUUGAACAGGACCUUUCCUUGAGCUAAGAACUACAACUCUAAGCACCAACAAAUUGACAUUAAUUGACCCAAUACUUUGAUCAACGAAC
rnacentral:rRNA from 1 species